rnacentral:piRNA from 1 species
UGGAAUGUGACGUGGCUGUCAAAUAGA